AGAGAGGUUCGGAACAUCAAGUUGUAGCAAAUUAAUACAUUUUUGUAUUUUAAAUAUUAAAUCAAUUAUUUUCCCAAUAAAUUGAAAUAAAAUUGGACUGCAGUGAAUGUGAAAAUAUUUUUAAAAAACUUUUUUAAUGACUAAUUUCAUGCGCACUUGCGUAUUCCGAAAAAAACAGGAAGUCUCUACAUUUAAUGCUGUGUUGUAAACGGUGCUAAACUUCGAUAUUUUACAAUUAUUUAUCAUCACGAUAACAAAUUGUAAUUUGAUCAUUUUCUUUGAUAAGUACUUAUGCUUUAUUAGUUUGUCACAUACAUUAGUGAGCGUGAUAGAACAACUGCGUUAUUUAUUAAUUUAGGUUCACCAUCAACUAAUUACAUCAAUAUUUGCACAGACACUUGGACAAUUGCGUUACUAUUUAUUUAUUGACCUAUGAAUACCCGCAAGAUCAUUGCGUGCUAAGUCUUAAAUCGUAAGUUACAGAACUAGAGCCUCUCAGUUGGUAAAUAAUAUUAUAUGUUUUCAUAAAAAGUUCAGUCCCUUUUUCAGUAAAGCUUCAGCGGCGAAAUGAAACUGUAUCCUCACAAAGUUUUGCUUUAUUUGAAACAUACCUGUGUUACUUUACUUUACUAAAACUUAGUUUGGGGUUGUUUAAGGAAGAUGAUUUCCGUGCAGACUGUAGUGAUAAAUUGUGCGGAAACUGAAUUAUCAACAUUCAUUGGAAUUUUAUCAAGGGACCUAAUAACUUUAAGAUAUUACCGUUUUACUAAUAAAAUUACUGGACAUUUGCUGGACAUACAAUUUUAGUUAAGUACAUGAUGUAAGAGACGAAUGGAAAGGAGCAUGCUAGGAUUGAAACUAAUGG